CCUACGGGAGGCUGCAGUGAGGAAUAUUGGUCAAUGGGAGAGAUCCUGAACCAGCCAAGCCGCGUGAGGGAAGACGGCCCUAUGGGUUGUAAACCUCUUUUGUCGGGGAACAAAACCCGGGAAGUGACCCGGACUGCGUGUAUCCGAAGAAAACGCAUCGGCUAACUCCGUGCCAGCAGCCGCGGUAAUACGGAGGAUGCGAGGGUUAUCCGGAUUUGUUGGGUUAAGGGGGUGCGUAGGCGGUUCGUUAAGUCAGCGGGAAAAUGGCGGGGCCCAACCCCGUCGAGCCGUUGAAACUGGCAGACUUGAGUUGGCGAGAAGUACGCGGAAUGCGCGGUGUAGCGGUGAAAUGCAUAGAUAUCGCGCAGAACUCCGAUUGCGAAGGCAGCGUACCGGCGCCAGACUGACGCUGAGGCACGAAAGCGUGGGGAUCGAACAGGAUUAGAUACCCCAGUAGUC
rnacentral:rRNA from 1 species